UGGGGGAUAUUGCACAAUGGGCGAAAGCCUGAUGCAGCGACGCCGCGUGGGGGAUGAAGGCUUUCGGGUUGUAAACCUCUUUCGCUAUCGAACAAGGCCCGCUUAGGGUGGGUUGAGGGUAGGUGGAGAAGAAGCGCCGGCUAACUACGUCCCAGCAGCCGCGGUAAUACGUAGGGCGCGAGCGUUGUCCGGAAUUAUUGGGCGUAAAGGGCUUGUAGGCGGCUUGUUGCGCCUGCUGUGAAAACGCGGGGCUUAACUUCGCGCGUGCAGUGGGUACGGGCAGGCUUGAGUGUGGUAGGGGUGACUGGAAUUCCAGGUGUAGCGGUGGAAUGCGCAGAUAUCUGGAGGAACACCGAUGGCGAAGGCAGGUCACUGGGCCAUUACUGACGCUGAGGAGCGAAAGCAUGGGUAGCGAACAGG
rnacentral:rRNA from 1 species